AAGUCGUAACAAGGUCUCCGUUGGUGAACCAGCGGAGGGAUCAUUACAAGAAGCCGAAAGGCUACUUAAAACCAUCGCGAACCCAUCCAAGUUGCUUCGGCGGCGCGGAGGCCCUCGGGUCGCCGCAGCCCCGGCCUCUCCGGAGGUCGAGGGGCGCCCGCCGGAGGUACGAAACUCUCCUGUAUCAUAGCGGCAUCUCUGAGUAAACAAACAAAUAAGUUAAAACUUUCAACAACGGAUCUCUUGGUUCUG
rnacentral:misc_RNA from 1 species